rnacentral:rRNA from 1 species
CUACUCUUGACAUCCAGAGAAUUUGCUAGAGAUAGCUUAGUGCCUUCGGGAACUCUGAGACAGGUGCUGCAUGGCUGUCGUCAGCCCGUGUCGUGAGAUGUUGGGUUAAGUCCCGCAACGAGCGCAACCCUUGUCCUUAGUUGCCAGCACGUAAUGGUGGGAACUCUAAUGAGACUGCCAGUGAUAAACUGGAGGAAGGUGGGGAUAACGUCAAGUCAUCAUGGCCCUUACGACCAGGGCUACACACGUGCUACAAUGGCGCAUACAAAGAGAAGCGACCUCGCGAGAGCAAGCGGACCUCAUAAAGUGCGUCGUAGUCCGGAUUGGAGUCUGCAACUCGACUCCAUGAAGUCGGAAUCGCUAGUAAUCGUGGAUCAGAAUGCCACGGUGAAUACGUUCCC